AUUAUUAUGUUUAUCAUAUUGUUAUAGAUUUGCGAGAUUUUAAUAUUUUUUUGUACAUAAAUUUCAACAUUAGGUCAUUAUCUCGAACAUGUCUCCACCAUCAUGUGUUACACUAGAAGAGAUCCAUGCUCAUUUUCACUCAAUACUGAUCCAAGGAUGGUGUUAUUUUGCUUGUGGAUGACGAGUUGAUAUUAUAUAAGAUAUGAAUUUUACUAUUUCCAAUAAUCUUUCAGUGGAGGUUUCUUUCUCUCAACAACCAGAAAUUGUUAUUGAUACUACAUCAUCUAUAGAAGAUAUAAAAAUGUAUAUGGAAACUCUGCAAGCCUCUAUUUUAUGUAAAGGAACUGACAUACACUAUAGGUGAAAAUUGAAAAUAAACUUAAAGAUUCACCUAAAUCGAGGCACCAUCUGGAACUGUGACACCUGAAGUAAAAACAAGCAUCAAGUACAUCUUUUAGUAGUAGUGUGAAAAGAAAGAAAGU